GAUGAACGCUGGCGGCGUGCCUAAUACAUGCAAGUCGAGCGAACAGACGAGGAGCUUGCUCCUCUGACGUUAGCGGCGGACGGGUGAGUAACACGUGGAUAACCUACCUAUAAGACUGGGAUAACUUCGGGAAACCGGAGCUAAUACCGGAUAAUAUAUUGAACCGCAUGGUUCAAUAGUGAAAGACGGUUUUGCUGUCACUUAUAGAUGGAUCCGCGCCGCAUUAGCUAGUUGGUAAGGUAACGGCUUACCAAGGCGAAGAUGCGUAGCCGACCUGAGAGGGUGAUCGGCCACACUGGAACUGAGACACGGUCCAGACUCCUACGGGAGGCAGCAGUAGGGAAUCUUCCGCAAUGGGCGAAAGCCUGACGGAGCAACGCCGCGUGAGUGAUGAAGGUCUUCGGAUCGUAAAACUCUGUUAUUAGGGAAGAACAAAUGUGUAAGUAACUAUGCACGUCUUGACGGUACCUAAUCAGAAAGCCACGGCUAACUACGUG
rnacentral:rRNA from 1 species